GGCGAACGCUGGCGGCGCGCUUAACACAUGCAAGUCGAGCGAUGAAAUUGCGACAGCUCCCUUCGGCGGGAGGAUGAAAGGGGUUAGCGGCGGACGGGUGAGGAACACGUUAGUAAGCUGCCUUUGACAUUGGGAUAGCCUCGGGAAACUGGGAUUAAUACCAAAUGACACUAACUGAUCACAUGAGCAAUUAGUCAAAGGAAUGCGGUCAAAGAUGGACUCGCGGCUGAUUAGCUAGUUGGUGAGGUAACGGCCCACCAAUGCGACGAUCAGUAGCCGGCCAGAGAGGGUGAUCCGACACAUUGGAACUGAGACACAGUGCAAAAUACUAGGGGAGGGAGGCGUGGGGAAUACUGCAAAACGGGGGAAAUGAUGAUGGAGCGCGGGCGGGUGAGCGAAGAAGGCCGUAGGGUAGUACAGCUCUUUUAUGCGGCAAGAUACUGACGGUACCUAAAGAAAAAGCACCGGCUAACUACGUG
rnacentral:rRNA from 1 species